rnacentral:rRNA from 1 species
UCAAAGGAAUUGACGGGGCCCGCACAAGCGGUGGAGCAUGUGGUUUAAUUCGAUGCAACGCGAAGAACCUUACCUGGGCUUGACAUCCCGGGAAUCCCCUGGGAAACAGGGGAGUGCCCUUUCGGGGAACCCGGUGACAGGUGCUGCAUGGCUGUCGUCAGCUCGUGUCGUGAGAUGUUGGGUUAAGUCCCGCAACGAGCGCAACCCUUGUCUUUAAUUGCCAUCAUUUAGUUGGGCACUUUAAAGAGACUGCCGGUGUUAAGCCGGAGGAAGGUGGGGAUGACGUCAAGUCCUCAUGGCCUUUAUGACCAGGGCUACACACGUACUACAAUGGCCGGUACAAAGGGCAGCGACACAGCGAUGUGAAGCGAAUCCCGAAAAGCCGGUCUCAGUCCGGAUUGGAGUCUGCAACUCGACUCCAUGAAGUUGGAAUCGCUAGUAAUCGCGGAUCAGCACGCCGCGGUGAAUACGUUCCCGGGCCUU